GACGAACGCUGGCGGCGUGCCUAAUACAUGCAAGUAGAACGCUGAAGGAGGAGCUUGCUCUUCUGGAUGAGUUGCGAACGGGUGAGUAACGCGUAGGUAACCUGCCUGGUAGCGGGGGAUAACUAUUGGAAACGAUAGCUAAUACCGCAUAAGAGUAGAUGUUGCAUGACAUUUACUUAAAAGGUGCAAUUGCAUCACUACCAGAUGGACCUGCGUUGUAUUAGCUAGUUGGUGGGGUAACGGCUUACCAAGGCGACGAUACAUAGCCGACCUGAGAGGGUGAUCGGCCACACUGGGACUGAGACACGGCCCAGACUCCUACGGGAGGCAGCAGUAGGGAAUCUUCGGCAAUGGACGGAAGUCUGACCGAGCAACGCCGCGGGAGUGAAGAAGGGUGUCGGAUCGUAAAGCUCGGUUGUAAGAGAAGAACGAGUGUGAGAGUGGAAAGUUCACACUGUGACGGUAUCUUACCAGAAAGGGACGGCUAACUACGUG
rnacentral:rRNA from 1 species